GGAGGGGUGGCAGAGCGGUCGAAUGCGGCGGUCUUGAAAACCGCUGACCGGCAACCCCGGUCCGAGGGUUCGAAUCCCUCCUCCUCCG
rnacentral:tRNA from 1 species